rnacentral:tRNA from 1 species
GGGCCUGUGAUGUAACGGACAGCAUAAUCGGCUUCGGACCGGUUCGUCUGGGUUCGAAUCCCAGCAGGCUCA